AGCUUUGCCCAGUGGCAGUAACAUAGCCAAUGAGGUUUAUCCAAGGCACAAUUGUUAAUUGAAAACUAUUCCCAAUAACCUGCUCUGACAAUUUGUAAUAUAUCUGGCAUUGGAAUUUUUGAUGGUCUCUACAGAC